rnacentral:rRNA from 1 species
UAUUAUGAGAGUUUGAUCCUGGCUCAGGACGAACGCUGGCGGCGUGCCUAAUACAUGCAAGUCGAACGCUUCUUUCCUCCCGAGUGCUUGCACUCAAUUGGAAAGAGGAGUGGCGGACGGGUGAGUAACACGUGGGUAACCUACCCAUCAGAGGGGGAUAACACUUGGAAACAGGUGCUAAUACCGCAUAACAGUUUAUGCCGCAUGGCAUAAGAGUGAAAGGCGCUUUCGGGUGUCGCUGAUGGAUGGACCCGCGGUGCAUUAGCUAGUUGGUGAGGUAACGGCUCACCAAGGCCACGAUGCAUAGCCGACCUGAGAGGGUGAUCGGCCACACUGGGACUGAGACACGGCCCAGACUCCGAGCAACGCCGCGUGAGUGAAGAAGGUUUUCGGAUCGUAAAACUCUGUUGUUAGAGAAGAACAAGGACGUUAGUAACUGAACGUCCCCUGACGGUAUCUAACCAGAAAGCCACGGCUAACUACGUGCCAGCAGCCGCGGUAAUACGUAGGUGGCAAGCGUUGUCCGGAUUUAUUGGGCGUAAAGCGAGCGCAGGCGGUUUCUUAAGUCUGAUGUGAAAGCCCCCGGCUCAACCGGGGAGGGUCAUUGGAAACUGGGAGACUUGAGUGCAGAAGAGGAGAGUGGAAUUCCAUGUGUAGCGGUGAAAUGCGUAGAUAUAUGGAGGAACACCAGUGGCGAAGGCGGCUCUCUGGUCUGUAACUGACGCUGAGGCUCGAAAGCGUGGGGAGCAAACAGGAUUAGAUACCCUGGUAGUCCACGCCGUAAACGAUGAGUGCUAAGUGUUGGAGGGUUUCCGCCCUUCAGUGCUGCAGCAAACGCAUUAAGCACUCCGCCUGGGGAGUACGACCGCAAGGUUGAAACUCAAAGGAAUUGACGGGGGCCCGCACAAGCGGUGGAGCAUGUGGUUUAAUUC